rnacentral:rRNA from 1 species
UACGUAGGUCCCGAGCGUUGUCCGGAUUUAUUGGGCGUAAAGCGAGCGCAGGUGGUUUAUUAAGUCUGGUGUAAAAGGCAGUGGCUCAACCAUUGUAUGCAUUGGAAACUGGUAGACUUGAGUGCAGGAGAGGAGAGUGGAAUUCCAUGUGUAGCGGUGAAAUGCGUAGAUAUAUGGAGGAACACCGGUGGCGAAAGCGGCUCUCUGUCCUGUAACUGACACUGAGGCUCGAAAGCGUGGGGAGCAAACAGG